AUGCUCGCUUUGGCAGCACAUAUACUAAAAUUUGGAAUGAUACAGAGAAGAUUAGCAUGGCCCCUGAGCAGGGAUGACAUGCAAAUUUGUGAAGCAUUUCAUAUUUUU
ensembl:snRNA U6 spliceosomal RNA